CAUGGAUGCUGGCUUGAUGACACACAUACUAUCAGUAAUCACGCUCAUCGUCACUACUGCAUCGACGACUGUAGAAUGUUUCUCUACAGCAAUGACCCGAAGAUUCGAAAGAGAUCUUCUACCGGGACAUGUACCUGCACCGCUGUCUACGCUCACUCCCUGGUCUCUAACCGAGAACAUAGCUUGGGGAAACGGUCGUUCUAAAGGCGGGAUCGCCUGCACCUUUUUUCCAAGCACACCCUCUGGAGGUGACGGGCUUUGGCUGACCGACAGGCCCUGUAAUGACGACAUGGACAGGCACUGUGAUAAGGUGUGCCGACAGCUGGAUCCUGUAAACACUGGCUUGUGCUGCUGGCCAGUAGAGACGUGCUUCUGUUGGAAGCCUUUAGUGCACUUCACAUAAUCUGCAAACGACGUCCGCUGUAUAUCACAUGCCUAUAUAUACGAGGGAUAGUCAUGGAGUUUUAAUUAUCACCUCGAAAGAAUCAAGCUGCGACCAUGAAACUUGGUGAUGGUGGUAGUCCUUCUCUACAUGUUCACCCUUCCCAAGCAGCACAAUGUACUGAAAGUCGAGUGGAAUACGGGUGGACGGGUAUGUGGAAGGCCUUGAGCAGACCCGUGAAACUAAAGAACAUGGAUAAGACACAUACCGUCCACCCCUAUUGCACUCGACUUUCAGUAGAUUGUGCUGCUUGGGAUUAGAGAGUUUUAGCAGACCGUGGAUAACGUGGCUAGCGUCUCACCAUAUCAACCGGGACCAAUCAGUGAAUGAGAUUCUGAGUCACUCACGAGUGCGAUUGGUUCCGAUAGAGACGAUAACUUUAUCAACGGUAUUACUAAACCUCACUAUUUUUCCCAAGGAUGUAUAACUUGGCGGAGGCCCUAGUUGUAGAAGUCUGCAUUUUGGCUGUUCAGGAAAAGGUUCUACCUCGAAAACCAUCUCGCCGUCAUUCUAAAAAAAAAAAAAAAAAAAAAAAAAAAAAAAAAAAACUUGCCAAGCACUGGGUUCUUCAUCCGAGGAAAGAGGAAGAAGCGCCAUGUCAGCAGAAUUGGGGGGAGGGGGGGAGGCAAAAUUUGAUAGCCCAAAGAGGAAGCACGUGUAACUGUGUCUUCUGGAAAAUGAGCUGGACCGUUGUCGUGGAGCAAAAGCACCCCCUUGGACAGCUUCCCGCGACGCUUUUCUCUUGACAGCCUCCCACAACCUCGUCAGCAGAUUUCAGUAGUGUGCUCCUGUGAUGGUUUGCUGCCCCCUACGAGCAUAAUCUGUUAGCACCACACCAUGGCAGUCCAAAGAAACACUCAGUAUCACCUAGCCAAAUGAUGGUUGGGUCUUCGCCUUUUUUGGCGGGAGUGAUUCCGCAUGUUUCCACUGCUUGCUUUGCUCCUUUGUCUCUGGGUCUUAGUGGUACACCCAGCACUUGUCCAUGGUGACUAGGCGGCUAAAGAAGUCAUCUGGAUUGGCCUGACACAGCCGCAAAAUUACCGCUGCCGACUCGGUUCGGCGCACUUUUUUAAUGGGCGUGAGCAGCCGCGGAACGCAGCGGGCGGCGACCUUUGUCAUGUUCAAAAUACCGUGCAAGAUGUGCAGAACUGAUCCAUGGCUGAUUUCUCUUCGAGUACCAGGGUCUCCUCUUGUGUUGCGAUUCCCGGUUCCUCAGAGAGAGAUGGUCUCCCACUUCGUUGUUCGUCAUUCAGACUUGCUUGACCACACUGGAAGCGUCUGUGCCAACUAACGACUGUGUCAUAUGAUGGUGCAUUGUCGCAAUACACUUCCACCAACUCAGCAUGGAUUCUUUCAGCCUUGUUGCCCUUCAAAUACAGAAAACGAAUUACCGCGCGAUACUCCACUUUACUAAUGGGCUGCGUCUUUUUUUUUUUUUUUUGCUGCUCUAGCGGCGUGUGACGCGGGGAUUUCAAAGUGUACGAAGACUGCAGACAUGUAUCUACCAACAAACCAAAAAAUAAGUAUCCAACUAUUCUUUUUCGAUCAUUAAAACUUUAUGACUACCCCUCGUAUCGUCUACCUUUACGUCUCUAUCGCUAUUAUAUCUACAUGACGGCUGGGUGGAGACGUCCGCUGAACGAGUCCUUGUUCAAGUCCCUUACGUCGGUGGGAUGGAGCUAGAGCAACCCUGUGGGAACCGUUAUUUUACUGUAGCUACAAACCUAGUCCUCGUUCC